AUAGCUUCCAAAAGUAAGGAUUAGCUAAUCAGAGUCUGUUUUACCCUCCCCAGCCGUCUUCUCAUUUCUUUCUCAUUUCUCAUUUCUUUCUCACGUCUGAAACAUCUUCUUCUUUUUUUCAUUUUUCUUUCCAUUUCCUUCCAACCUUCUCCCUCCUUUUCAUGCUUCUAUCCUGACCAACCCUUUAACAAACCCUAACAACCCUCAACAAGGCCUUCAAUUACGAAUCGUAUGAGGUAACAGAGUAACAGAGAGUAGCAGCAAUGGUUCCCAAUGAGUAGGGAAGUCUCUUGAAAUUGUCUGCCAAUUAUCUCCAAAUGCAGUGACUUCAAAUGCAGUGAAUCCCAAUUCAAUCAAGGUGAAUGUAGGAGAAUGUCAUUACCAGCAAUGUUAGUAGGGGAAACAGUGGGUGAAAUGCUUCAAGCAAAUCAAUUUGCAAGACAGAUCCUAGCUGUUGUUGAUAACAAAACCAAGAAUACUUCUGCGGAUCCUAAAACUCCAUUGACUGAACACAGGAAGCAAAGAUGUCAAUUUUUAAAGGUAAUUGCAUGAACCAAUUGAGUUAAAACUCAAAUUUUUCCGUUGUUUUUUUUCUGGUGUUGCCAUGAUAUGUUCCCUGUUCUGCUAAAAUAUACUGUUCCUGGUGC